rnacentral:rRNA from 1 species
UACAGAGGGUGCAAGCGUUGUUCGGAAUCACUGGGCGUAAAGGGUGCGUAGGCUGCACGGUAAGUCAGAGGUGAAAUCCCGGAGCUCAACUUCGGAAUUGCCUCCGAUACUGCCGUGCUUGAGGACUGGAGAGGAGAUUGGAAUUCACAGUGGAGCAGUGAAAUGCGUAGAUAUUGUGAGGAACACUAGUGGCGAAGGCGAAUCUCUGGACAGUUCCUGACGCUGAGGCACGAAGGCCAGGGGAGCAAACGGG